UUCCACCCCGAGCAGCUGAUCACGGGCAAGGAGGAUGCGGCCAACAACUACGCCCGCGGGCACUACACCAUCGGCAAGGAGAUCAUCGACCUGGUCCUCGACCGCAUCCGCAAGCUGGCUGACCAGUGCACGGGGCUGCAGGGCUUCCUGGUGUUCCACAGCUUCGGGGGCGGCACCGGCUCCGGCUUCACCUCCCUGCUCAUGGAGCGCCUCUCCGUCGACUACGGCAAGAAGUCCAAGCUGGAGUUCUCCAUCUACCCGGCCCCGCAGGUGUCCACGGCCGUGGUGGAGCCCUACAACUCCAUCCUCACCACCCACACCACGACUGCGCCUUCAUGGUGGACAACGAGGCCAUCUACGACAUCUGCCGCCGCAACCUGGACAUCGAGAGGCCCACCUACACCAACCUCAACCGCCUCAUCAGCCAGAUCGUGUCCUCCAUCACGGCCUCGCUGCGCUUCGACGGGGCCCUGAACGUCGACCUGACGGAGUUCCAGACCAACCUGGUGCCCUACCCCCGCAUCCACUUCCCUCUGGCCACCUACGCCCCCGUCAUCUCGGCCGAGAAGGCUUAUCACGAGCAGCUCUCGGUGGCCGAGAUCACCAACGCCUGCUUCGAGCCGGCCAACCAGAUGGUGAAGUGCGACCCGCGGCACGGCAAGUACAUGGCGUGCUGCCUGCUGUACCGCGGGGACGUGGUGCCCAAGGAUGUCAAUGCCGCCAUCGCCACCAUCCACACCCA